rnacentral:rRNA from 1 species
GACAGAGGUGCCGAGCGUUAGGCGGAAUCACUGGGCUUAAAGCGUGUGUAGGCGGAUUCCUAAGUACCUUGUGAAAUCCCAUGGCUCAACCAUGGAACUGCUUGGUAUACUGGGUGUCUUGAGCCAACUAGGGGCUACCGGAACAAAUGGUGGAGCGGUGAAAAUGCGUAGAUAUCAUUUGGAACGCCAAUGGUGAAAACAGGUAGCUGGGGUUGUGCUGACGCUGAGACACGAAAGCCAGGGGAGCGAACGGG